GUGGGGAAUCUUGCGCAAUGGGCGAAAGCCUGACGCAGCCAUGCCGCGUGAAUGAUGAAGGUCUUAGGAUUGUAAAAUUCUUUCACCGGGGACGAUAAUGACGGUACCCGGAGAAGAAGCUCCGGCUAACUUCGUGCCAGCAGCCGCGGUAAUACGAAGGGGGCUAGCGUUGCUCGGAAUUACUGGGCGUAAAGGGCGCGUAGGCGGACAGCUUAGUCAGAGGUGAAAGCCCAGGGCUCAACCUUGGAAUUGCCUUUGAUACUGGCUGUCUUGAGUUUGGGAGAGGUGAGUGGAACUCCGAGUGGAGAGGUGAAAUUCGUAGAUAUUCGGAAGAACACCAGUGGCGAAGGCGACUCACUGGCCCAAUACUGACGCUGAGGCGCGAAAGCGUGGGGAGCAAACAGGAUUAGAAACCCGGGUAGUCC
rnacentral:rRNA from 1 species